GACGAACGCUGGCGGCGUGCUUAACACAUGCAAGUCGAACGGAAAGGCCCUGCUUUUGUGGGGUGCUCGAGUGGCGAACGGGUGAGUAACACGUGAGUAACCUGCCCUUGACUUUGGGAUAACUUCAGGAAACUGGGGCUAAUACCGGAUAGGAGCUCCUGCUGCAUGGUGGGGGUUGGAAAGUUUCGGCGGUUGGGGAUGGACUCGCGGCUUAUCAGCUUGUUGGUGGGGUAGUGGCUUACCAAGGCUUUGACGGGUAGCCGGCCUGAGAGGGUGACCGGCCACAUUGGGACUGAGAUACGGCCCAGACUCCUACGGGAGGCAGCAGUGGGGAAUAUUGCACAAUGGGCGGAAGCCAGAUGCAGCAACGCCGCGUGCGGGAUGGCGGCCUUCGGGUUGUAAACCGCUUUCGCCUGUGACGAAGCGUGAGUGACGGUAAUGGGUAAAGAAGCACCGGCUAACUACGUG
rnacentral:rRNA from 1 species